GACGAACGCUGGCGGCGUGCUUAACACAUGCAAGUCGAACGGAAAGGCCCUGCUUUUGUGGGGUGCUCGAGUGGCGAACGGGUGAGUAACACGUGAGUAACCUGCCCUUGACUUUGGGAUAACUUCAGGAAACUGGGGCUAAUAUCGGAUAGGAGCUCCUGCUGCAUGGUGGGGGUUGGAAAGUUUCGGCGGUUGGGGAUGGACUCGCGGCUUAUCAGCUUGUUGGUGGGGUAGUGGCUUACCAAGGCUUUGACGGGUAGCCGGCCUGAGAGGGUGACCGGCCACAAUGCGACUGAGGUACGGCCCAGACUCCUACGGGAGGCAGCAGUGGGGAAUAUUGCACAGUGGGCGGAAGCCUGAUGCGGCAACGCCGCGUGCGGAAUGACGGCCUUCGGGUUGUAAACCGCUUUCGCCUGUGACGAAGCGUGAGUGACGGUAAUGGGUAAAGAAGCACCGGCUAACUACGUG
rnacentral:rRNA from 1 species